GAGAGGACAACGCUUUGCUGAGGGUGCUGUGCCCAGCUGGUGACUCUGGGGGGCUGUGGGACACCCAGACCCCUCCCUGUGCCCAGAGCAGCACCCACAAAACCCCUGGAUUCCCCAAAAAUGAGGAAGAGAAAGCUAAAAGGGUAUCAUAAACAAGCCAGGGGGACUUGGUGGCCAGCAGGGAAUGUCCCUCCUGUGUCACCUUCCCCUGUGUCCAUGGGGCAUUGCUGCCACCACCUUCACCUUGGGAACAGCUCCAAGGAUGCUGAGGGAAAGGCAUCUCCCUUGUAAGGCACUAGGCAAUGUCACCUUCCUCUACCCCCAAAAAUCCCCUGAACAUCAACAUCAGAAACCCAUGGUAGGGAUGGGCUGGCUGUUCCUGAAGCACAGCUGGGCUGAGUUAAGAGAAAACCUUUAAAUCUCACCCCUGGAAGUGGUUUGUGCCCCCAGCCCUGCCUCAGGGGGUUUUGGGGAGAGGCUUGGAGAGCAUUGCACUCCCUCGUGGGCAACUCUUUGGUCCCCUGUCGCUGCUGGCCGGGCAGAUUUCCUCCUGAUGUCAUUUUUGAGCCACCCUGGUGAUGGGGAAAUGUGGUGAGGAAGGACCUGGCUCUUCUCCCCAGCAGGACCAGAUGAGGAAGAGCGAUUAUCGGGGAGAUUUUCUUCGGGGGAAAUUCUGGCACAAAGACAAACUGCAAUAUCUCAGCGCAGGCUGGGCGCUGAGUCUUGGAUAAAAAUAAAGCAGGAGGCGGCAGCACCUUCCCGAUGACAUUAACUCCAUUCAUCUCCCGCUGCCGCCGCCGCCAGCGUGCUCAGGCAUUAGGAGUUACGUUUUCCUCCACUAUUUCUCAAAUAUAUUUAUGCUGGGAGAUGUUUGUGGAGGUACAUCCUGUGCCUGGGGCAGAGGAUUAAUUCCAAACUGUCACCUCGCUUUUUUGAUGGGUUUGUAAAUUCUGUUCUGUUGAUUUGCACUCGCAGUAAAUUGAUAAAAUCCUCUUUCCAAAAACCUAAUUCACCAUUUAGGGCUCACCAGGGUUUUAGACCUCAUUGGCUCACAUAUUUAUGUAAAUAUAGUGUCCAGCAGCAAUUUAAAAACUGCUGCGUGGAUAAUGGGGAUGGAUAAGGAGGGAAGGCAGACACAUUGUGUGGUGGGGGCUGUGUGCCCUGGAAAGGAGCCUUUCCUUGCCUUGGGGCCCCAGAUUUUGGGAUGGCUUUGCUGUGGGUGGCUGCUUUGGGCAGUGUUUCUCCAGAAUCUGGUCCCUGCACCAGAAGAGAUUAACCCUGACAGUGCUGGGAAUAGUCUGAGCUCUGCAAGGAUGGCACUGGAUGUUCCAAGAGGACUUUGCCAAGCACUCCUGCAGUGGGCAGGGGUGUGCUGGGAGCACUGGGAGCUCUCAGGGCUCAUGCCAGAGUGGUCUGUCAAUUUAGGGACUUGGUAUCUUUGCAAAUGGAAGUUCAGGACUGUCAGGAAAAGCCUGGUUUUCACUGAAAUUGCAUUUAAAUCAGCAUCAGGAGAUGCAAGCCCCGUUCCUGUGCAGCCCCAUCAUCAUGGAAGAGAUGCAGGGUGGCAGAGGGGACAUCAGCAGCGAUGUCCUCAGAAUUGUCCCCCAGCCACCACUCUGCCCGAGAUGAAGCAUCUCAUCCACAAAAUGUUGCCAUGCUCCAUUAAUCCACCCAAAAACGUCAGAUGGAGAUUCUCCCUUGAAUUUUAAAUAUUUCCAGCCGUUCUGA